rnacentral:rRNA from 1 species
UACGUAGGGUGCAAGCGUUAAUCGGAAUUACUGGGCGUAAAGCGCGCGUAGGUGGCUUCGUAAGUCCGUUGUGAAAGUCAAAGGCUCAACCUUUGAAUGCCGAUGGAUACUGCGGAGCUAGAGUACGGAAGAGGCGAGUGGAAUUCCUGGUGUAGCGGUGGAAUGCGCAGAUAUCAGGAGGAACACCAAUAGCGAAGGCAGCUCGCUGGGACGUUACUGACACUAAGGCGCGAAAGCGUGGGGAGCGAACAGG